UUAAGUGCUUGAUAUCUGAAGAAGCAAAGAGUACUAAAGUUUUGGCAUAUAUUACUGCCCUUAAGAAAUUAUGCAACCAUCCGAAGAACUUAUUAUGCCCACGACCACUGCCAUGGACUUUGUGGCCCGCCUGCUUAUCCUUGAUGUGGCUACAAUGCGCGAACCAGUGUUCGACUUUGAACGCCGACAUGGACGGCGGCCUCAAGUGCUACACCAUCUUCUUGGAUAUGUGGAGAGGCUUUUUGCACUGCAGUUCAAGACAUACUGUAGAUUACAUGGCUAAAGAAAAUUAUUUACGAUUAAUAAAUCAUGUUCUUGCUAAAUUAUUAAGUGUUCAAGCAUGCCUACUAUGAUCCCGUGCUUCCUCUUUGUGUAUGGCUUGCUGUGAAAACACUAAACAUAACAUGUGCUUGAUUAAUUCAGUAUACUACUUCUCUUAAGAAGGUUAGGGUCAACGAGGAAGCACAUAACUGUGUUUGAUGCAUUCUUCAGGUUGAGGGUCUGAUAAUGGACUUAACACAACUGCUGGAGAGAGAUUAAAAUAUUGAAUAUGGUAGCAGAGGAGGAAGCUGAAGUUGGUAGAUUAAUAGAGCGAGAGUUCCAGACCCAGGUUACUCCAAGAACAAGUGCAUUAUAUUUCUGUGUAUCCAGUAGCUUAUGCAGCCCAUAAUUACUUUCCCAACAGAUUCAUGAUUGGGAGAAGUAGCUAAAGAUCUCUGGAGCACCUUGAGGUAGCAAUCCAGCCUACAAUGUCACAUUUUCAAGCGAUGCAGAGAAACAAGACAAAUAACUACGAAGUAGUAGAUCAUAGAAAGGACUGGUGUCAAUUGAUCAGUCAUAGUCAAAGAAUGAUAUGGAAAUUAAACUAAGCAUGACAUGUCGGAAUAAUAGCAGAACCAGAGCAAGAGAAAAAAGUUGAUUAGCAGGUCGACAGUGAUGCCUGCUAAGAGAGAAUCCACACGUCCAUCCUUUUGCCACUGCUGAAGCCCCACAUCCUCGAUCUCGACACGCUUGCCUGCCAUCCUGGCCGACGUCCUCGCUAUGGCCCCCAAGCCACGCAACCACCUCGCCAGCUGUUGCUAGAGCCGAGCGCGUUGGCAGACUCCGCACCCAAGGUUUUUAGUUGAUGAAGGACGAAGUCUGCACCAAGAAGACCAUUCUGAUGGAUUCAAGAGAAUCAAAAGUGAAGAAUCAAGUUACAAUAAAUAUGUCGAUUACAAAUAUGCCUACAGAUACACAAGUGGUUUUCAGAUAUCUUUGCUUGAUUUGGAGCUGCUCAAAGAAAAAGGAUGGCCACAUAUAUAUGGUAGUUACUUCCAUGUCACAAAGGUGCUCUUCAGUAGAUGAACUGCACACCUGAACGCAUCACUAAUGGAAAGAUUCAUCAUCUUGGUCGGCUGCUUGCGGCGGGGCUUGUGGCUGGUGGUUGCGGCAGUGGCAGAGCAGUGUCCGAGAGCGCGGCGCAAGCAGUGGCCCCUGCUAUGUGGGCUGAUGGGAGCACACCAUCCAAGCAGCACUUCCAAGUAUGACAAUGUCCGCUCUACACCAAGGUACGUGGGCACUCGUGCAAAGAUCUAACAUCUUCACCGACUAGGACUAAGUUUAGCUCUCCAUAUGGUGCCCAUUUUUUUACGGGUAAGGCAAGAGCUCUGCCAAUUCAUUAAAGUUGACGGGAAACUGUAAAGAAGGCAUAAAAAGAAGAAGGAAAAGCGCCACAAAAUAAAUGGAGGUCUAAAUACUGGAUGAGAUUUUCAUUGCUGGCAUUCUUCAUGAACCUGUCAAGGAGAACAUUUCAAUACUAAUUGUUGCAAAGGUGUUCUCACCACCGGCUAGCAAGAAGAGAGUAUGAUUUUUCAGUGCUCACUGUUGUAAGCUUGAUUCACAAGGAGCUUCUCAAUGUUGUACAUGUAGUUUGUGAGUAACAGAAAUAAAACCUAUUUCUUCAUUCUUGUCUUGUACCUCCGUUUCAACUCCCCCAAACCAGUAGAGUUCAGUUACGUGUUUCAAUAUUAGGAAGUCAUCAUCUUCUAAAACAAAUUUUGUUACCUACUCAAACAUAUUUUAUUCCUGUGUUUCUAAUAAAUUUUGUAUAAAAACAUAUGUACAAUAGAACCUGUACAACCUGCAUUGGAGCAUGCUCAUUUGCUCUGUCCAUUUCUUCUAAAGAGUCCAGAUUCCUACGCAUUCAUAAAUACAAUUUAGUGUGCUCUAAUACAUUACCGGAAUCAGAUGAUAUAUUUUCUGUGCGAAUUCGUUGACACAGUUCCUUACAAAAGUUGUAUCUUCGAAAAGGACAAACAACUCUAUGUAAUCCUAUCAUCCAUUCUGAUUUUGAGCCAAGUAUACCCAUUAUCUUUUUCCUUCUAGCAAGGUACCAUAGACAUGUUAUGAAAUUCUCCUUUGCCUUCCAGGUGAACCAAAUAGGCAUCUUUUUAACAAAUGGAGGGAAUUCGUUUGUCAAUAAAAAUAAUU